rnacentral:rRNA from 1 species
AUGAACGCUGGCGGCGUGCCUCAUCCAUGCCAGUCGCGCGAACAGAUAAGGAGCUUGCUCCUUUGACGUUAGCGGCGGACGGGUGAGUAACACGUGGGUAACCUACCUAUAAGACUGGGAUAACUUCGGGAAACCGGAGCUAAUACCGGAUAAUAUUUCGAACCGCAUGGUUCGAUAGUGAAAGAUGGUUUUGCUAUCACUUAUAGAUGGACCCGCGCCGUAUUAGCUAGUUGGUAAGGUAACGGCUUACCAAGGCGACGAUACGUAGCCGACCUGAGAGGGUGAUCGGCCACACUGGAACUGAGACACGGUCCAGACUCCUACGGGAGGCAGCAGUAGGGAAUCUUCCGCAAUGGGCGAAAGCCUGACGGAGCAACGCCGCGUGAGUGAUGAAGGUCUUCGGAUCGUAAAACUCUGUUAUUAGGGAAGAACAUACGUGUAAGUAACUGUGCACGUCUUGACGGUACCUAAUCAGAAAGCCACGGCUAACUACGUG